rnacentral:tRNA from 1 species
GCGGAAUGGCAGACGCGCUGGAUUCAAAAUCCAGUGGGCUUCGGCCCAUGAGGGUUCAAGUCCCUC